AUUUUCUUUUGAUGUAAAACUGCUAAAGCACUUUGAUUCUACUGGAAGUUCAAAGUCUUUCUUAGUGUGCCAGGAUAUUGGAUAUUGACAGCUGUAAGACUAUUAACUGGGUGUGGACACCAGCAGGGGGAGACAGUGCACUUUAGAAAUUCAUUGCGAGCUGAGGCUUUCCGUUCUUCCUCUCACUUUUCACACUUCCGGACUGAGAAAAGCCAGCACUCCUUCUUAGAGAGUGGUGACCCGGCCAGCUCUUAUUUUCCUGACUAUUCCUCCCAUGUUUCCAAAAUAUGAUGCAACCUGAGACAUGGGUUUUGGAUGUUUGAGAAGCAAAGAAGCAUGAAAUGGAGCAGGACUUAAAGCGUACUUUUGCUUGAAGACCAAGGAGCUCAGUCUUUUACAGGUUCUAACAGGUAUAUGCCCAAGAGGAAAGGAAAUAUGUGUUCAUGAAAAGACUGGUACAGAAGGUUCAUAGAAGAUUUGUUUGUAAUAGCCAAAAACUGGAAACAGCCCCAAGUGGCCAUCAAUGGUGACUUGGUCUGCUAGAGACAAGUGAUGCUGCCUCACAUCUACUCCUCAUUGACUGGAGAGGAAACCAUUUCAUCCUGAAGAGGGAGCUUCACUGUGAGGGAGAUGCUCUGUUACUGACUUUGAACGUGGAGAGGGCCGCAUGGCAGGGAUCCGAGAGGGGCCUCUAGGAGCUGAGAGUGACUCCUGGCUGACAGCUGGCCUGAAGACAGGACUUAAUUCAUACAAGGAAAUGAAUUCUGCCUAUAGCCAGCAAGCUUGGAAGAGGAUCCCAAUCCUCAGAUGAGAACUGCAAACCCAGCUUGUGACUUCAGUCUUGUGAGACCUUAAGGAGAGAGCCGAUAUGAGCCCACCUACACUUCUGACAUAGAAAAUUGAGAUAAUAAAUGGCUUUUAAGUUGCUAAGUUUGUACUAACAUGUUAUGGCAGUGGUAGAAAACUGGUACAAUAUCUUUUUCUCACUUAAGUUUUACACUCUACAUCUUAAGCAUUUUUUUUUACAUAACUGGAAUGCUUAGUAAUCAAUAUACCAUUCACAUAUUAGUUCUUGAUUUUUCAUAUAACUUGUGGCUGUAUGUAUGAUGAUUUUUAAAUACAAAGUUUUUUUUUUAAUAUGGCAUAACAAUGUUUUUCUCUACAGUUUCUUCCUCUGUUUUGUUAUUUUAAAUCAUCCCGCCACCUUUUAAUGAAAUAAAUAUUCACUUAUUUUUUUCUAUAUUUUGAGUUUCUUAUUUUACGUUUGAAAUUUUAAUCAAUCUUAAUACCAUCCAUGGGAGUGUUAAUGUAUGGGCUCUUUUUACUUUCCAAGUGAUUAACCAAUCGAUUGACCCACUACCAGUUUUAGUAAGUUUCCCUCAUUCUACUAAAUAAAAAAUUUACUUUUAUUAUAUACUACAUUCUUAAUUUAUCCCACAUGAAGGCAGGAUAACUUUCUCUGUCCUUGAAAGUACUCCCAGUGUGGCGUUCUUUUAAAGAAGUAAGAGUUAAAUUGCUUACUACGUAAUUAAAAACAAUUUGAACCUUUAUUACACUGUCUUGAGAAAUAUAAAAUUUGGAUUAUAUUUCUAACACCAAGAAAAAUGAUUUAAAAUUCUUCUAAAAUAUCUUCUUCCCCUAAAAAUCUCACACUAUAAUUCUUUUACUCACCAGUUUCCUCAUCACUGUGCUGCUUUUUCCUCCCUUUCACCUAUAGGUGCCAUGAUGAUCAAGCAUACCUCAGAAGACUUGCCUCCUGACCCCUCACAUCCCACUGACUUCCAAUCUCCAUUAGCUACUGCCCUUCACCCCACAAACCAAGACUGACUCCCGAAGAGUGGAGUGGGCCCUGCUGUGCCAUGGAGAAGUGAAGAACAUAACUUACAACACAAAAGCGUCUUAGAAAUGUGUUUCUAUCUUCCAUCCCAAAAUUGUCUCAAAGGGAUAGUAGAUUCCUAAAAAUAUAGUAAAUAAAUUUCUCAAUCUCAUUAAUCUUAACAAAAAUUAGGCUCUGUUUCUGUGCAGUCAAUUUUACUCCAGAGUUGGUUCUUUUUGUAGCAGUAUGAACAUGUUUAGCUUCAUAAUAAUUUGUAAACAUCUGUUAGAGCAACUCCAGUUUUCUUAUUAAUAAUUAUUUUUUACAUUUAUUAUUUUUGAAAAAAAUAGAAACAUUUUAUUAAUAAAAUUAUUGUAUCAAUAUUUAAAUAAAAGCAUCACCAAAUCUAUGUAUUUUGUUAGGGAAAUUGACACAAACUGUCCUGUCAAGAACAUGAUAUCUG
ensembl:lncRNA